GAUGAACGCUGGCGGCGUGCCUAAUACAUGCAAGUCGAGCGAACGGACGAGAAGCUUGCUUCUCUGAUGUUAGCGGCGGACGGGUGAGUAACACGUUGAUAACCUACCUAUAAGACUGGGAUAACUUCGGGAAACCGUAGCUAAUACCGGAUAAUAUUUUGAACCGCAUGGUUCAAAAGUGAAAGACGGUCUUGCUGUCACUUAUAGAUGGAUCCGCGCUGCAUUAGCUAGUUGGUAAGGUAACGGCUUACCAAGGCAACGAUGCAUAGCCGACCUGAGAGGGUGAUCGGCCACACUGGAACUGAGACACGGUCCAGACUCCUACGGGAGGCAGCAGUAGGGAAUCUUCCGCAAUGGGCGAAAGCCUGACGGAGCAACGCCGCGUGAGUGAUGAAGGUCUUCGGAUCGUAAAACUCUGUUAUUAGGGAAGAACAUAUGUGUAAGUAACUGUGCACAUCUUGACGGUACCUAAUCAGAAAGCCACGGCUAACUACGUG
rnacentral:rRNA from 1 species